UAAUACGGAGGGUGCAAGCGUUAUCCGGAUUUACUGGGUUUAAAGGGUGCGUAGGUGGGUCUGUAAGUCAGUGGUGAAAUCUCCGGGCUUAACUCGGAAACUGCCAUUGAUACUAUAGGUCUUGAAUUAUCUGGAGGUGAGCGGAAUAUGUCAUGUAGCGGUGAAAUGCUUAGAUAUGACAUAGAACACCAAUUGCGAAGGCAGCUCACUACGGAUAUAUUGACACUGAGGCACGAAAGCGUGGGGAUCAAACAGGAUUAGAUACCCUGGUAGUCCACGCCCUAAACGAUGGAUACUCGACAUACGCGAUACACAGUGUGUGUCUGAGCGAAAGCAUUAAGUAUCCCACCUGGGAAGUACGAUCGCAAGAUUG
rnacentral:rRNA from 1 species